UACGUAGGGGGCAAGCGUUGUUCGGAAUUAUUGGGCGUAAAGGGCGCGUAGGCGGUUUGACAAGUCUGAUGUGAAAUCUCUGGGCUCAACCCAGAGUCUGCAUUAGAAACUGUCGGGCUUGAGUAUGGGAGAGGUGAGUGGAAUUUCCGGUAUAGCGGUGAAAUGCGUAGAUAUCGGAAGGAACACCUGUGGCGAAAGCGGCUCACUGGACCAUAACUGACGCUGAGGCGCGAAAGCUAGGGGAGCAAACAGG
rnacentral:rRNA from 1 species